rnacentral:rRNA from 1 species
UACGUAGGCAGCGAGCGUUGUUCGGAGUUACUGGGCGUAAAGGGUGUGUAGGCGGUUCUUUAAGUUUGGGGUGAAAUCUCCCGGCUCAACCGGGAGGGUGCGCCGAAUACUGAGGGACUAGAGUGCGGGAGAGGAAAGUGGAAUUCCUGGUGUAGCGGUGAAAUGCGUAGAUAUCAGGAGGAACACCGGUGGUGUAGACGGCUUUCUGGACCGUAACUGACGCUGAGACACGAAAGCGUGGGUAGCAAACAGG